UGACGUCACGAUUAUACCCAUAAUGCACUCGGCGGCCAUAUUGUAGGGCAACAGAUUGAAACGUGGAAGCGUAAACAAGAGAGGGUUAUUUAAGUUACAGCAAGAAUAUGGUUAAUACUUGUGUUGUGUGGAGUUGUAACAACCGGUCAGUGAGUGGAGAUGAAAACAGACGCUUUUAUGACAUUCCUAAAAUUGUAAAACAUCAAGGAAAGCAGACGGAAGAGUUGUCAGCUGAUUGGAGAACACUUUGGCUGGCGCGGAUCAACAGAUCAGAUUUCAACCCGAGAAACGUCAUUUUAAAGUCAGUUCAGAUCACUUCGUUUCAGGAACAAAGGCUGAACUCUAUGACAAGACUAUUCAAAACCUGACUGGGCACCCUCUCUUAAGUUAGGACCUGUGGAACAAGAUCCAUCGAUAACUUUAUCAACAAAGAAGAAGUACGAGAGAGCCCAAAGCCGUGAUGCAUGAAAAUUGGAAAAGACACUGUCAAAACAGGCACUAGAUUUCCAGGAUGUUGAAAGACUUGAGGAUUGUGAUGUGAACUAUGAACUGUGAACUGUGCAAGUUUAGUUACAUUGGACCACUGGAAGCACUGGCACCUAGAGAGGAAGACAAAAGCAAUAAGGAAGACCCAGACCUACUCCACAAGAUGCGUUGUGAACUGCAGAGGCAGUAAAACUGCAAAGAGUGAUGAAGCAACCGAUCCUCCAUGAUAAUUUCACAUUGGUAUCGUGAUAAUGGACAGAUAUCUUCAUUUGAGAACAUGAACCUCAAACCCAGGCCUGGUCAAGUUGAAAAAAUAGUAUUGCAUAAUAUUCUCAUUGAAGGAAAAUCACAUGUCCAUUGCCUUGCCAGGGUGAAAUGGUUAUGCAAAGUAAACGAAACAGUUUGACAUUAUUUUGGUAAACCAGUUGAAGUUUGGAAGGCCAAUAUGUAUGGAUGUGAAGGACCUGCUAGUUUUAUUCCCAUUCAAAGAAUAAAAUCCAAAUUUGUAUAUGCUUUUGAGAACUUUCAAGGAAUUAACACAAUCGUUGUUAUACCACGUGAAAGAUUCUUUUGACUUUGAUAUGCAUGAUAUGAAGCCGGACACAUAUGUUGAUCUGGAUAUAUACAGACACAAUUUGACUACCCAAGUCUGCUCAUUACAAAAACUUGUGAAGUCGGGCACAUGCAGCUGAUGUGUGAAACCGGACACAUAGGUCUACAUAUACAUGCAUGUACAUCAACUAUUUGAUUACAUCAGUCUGCACAUUACAAAAACUUGUGAAGUCGGGCACAUGCAGCUGAUAUGUGAAACCGGACACAUUGGUCUACACAUACAUGUAUGUACAUCAACUAUUUGAUUACAUCAGUCUGCACAUUACAAAAACUGGUGAAGUCGGGCACAUGCAGCUGAUGUGUGAAGCCGGACACAUAGGUCUACAUAUACAUGUAUGUACAUCAACUAUUUGAUUACAUCAGUCUGCACUGCCACAUUACAAAAACUUGUGAAGUCGGGCACAUGCAGCUGAUGUGUGAAACCGGACACAUAGGUCUACAUAUACAUGCAUGUACAUCAACUAUUUGAUUACAUCAGUCUGCACAUUACAAAAACUGGUGAAGUCGGGCACAUGCAGCUGAUAUGUGAAACCGGACACAUAGGUCUACACAUACAUGUAUGUACAUCAACUAUUUGAUUACAUCAGUCUGCACAUUACAAAAACUGGUGAAGUCGGGCACAUGCAGCUGAUGUGUGAAGCCGGACACAUAGGUCUACAUAUACAUGUAUGUACAUCAACUAUUUGAUUACAUCAGUCUGCACUGCCACAUUACAAAAACUUGUGAAGUCGGGCACAUGCAGCUGAUGUGUGAAGCCGGACACAUAGGUCUACACAUACAUGUAUGUACAUCAACUAUUUGAUUACAUCAGUCUGCACAUUAUAAAAACUUGUGAAGUCGGGCACAUGCAGCUGAUGUGUGAAGCCGGACACAUAGGUCUACAUAUACAUGUAUGUACAUCAAUUAUUUGAUUACAUCAGUCAGCACUGCCACAUUACAAAAACUUGUGAAGUCGGGCACAUGCAGCUGAUGUGUGAAUCCGGACACAUAGGUCUACAUAUACAUGCAUGUACAUCCACUAUUUGAUUACAUCAGUCUGCACAUUAUAAAAACUUGUGAAGUCGGGCACAUGCAGCUGAUGUGUGAAGCCGGACACAUAGGUCUACACAUACAUGUAUGUACAUCAACUAUUUGAUUACAUCAGUCUGCACAUUAUAAAAACUUGUGAAGUCGGGCACAUGCAGCUGAUGUGUGAAGCCGGACACAUAGGUCUACAUAUACAUGUAUGUACAUCAAUUAUUUGAUUACAUCAGUCAGCACUGCCACAUUACAAAAACUUGUGAAGUCGGGCACAUGCAGCUGAUGUGUGAAUCCGGACACAUAGGUCUACAUAUACAUGCAUGUACAUCAACUAUUUGAUUACAUCAGUCUGCACAUUAUAAAAACUUGUGAAGUCGGGUACAUGCAGCUGAUGUGUGAAGCCGGACACAUAGGUCUACAUAUACAUGUAUGUACAUCAAUUAUUUGAUUACAUCAGUCAGCACUGCCACAUUACAAAAACUUGUGAAGUCGGGCACAUGCAGCUGAUGUGUGAAGCCGGACACAUAGGUCUACAUAUACAUGCAUGUACAUCCACUAUUUGAUUACAUCAGUCUGCACAUUAUAAAAACUGGUGAAGUCUGGCACAUGCAGCUGAUAUGUGAAGCCGGACACAUAGGUCUACAUAUACAUGUAUGUACAUCCACUAUUUGAUUACAUCAGUCUGCACAUUACAAAAACUUGUGAAGUCGGGCACAUGCAGCUGAUAUGUGAAGCCGGACACAUAGGUCUACAUAUAUAUGUAUGUAUGUACCCACUAUCUGAUUGCAUAAGUCUGCAUAUUACUUGUGAAACUGGACACAUAGGUCUACAUAUAUACAUACAUACACUCUAUGAUCAUUUUAGUCUGCACAUUACAGAAAAAUGUCUGCAUAGCAAAUACUAUUCAGGAAGGGUGAUAAUAUUCUUGCAAUGUAUACGUUUUCAAUCUAAUUUGAAGUGUUUAUUUUCCUGAUCUUAUAAGUAUUUUUGUAGUUAAUUAUUUAUUGACUGUAAAGUGUUACAUUAAGAUGGUAUUUAUUAUGUACAGGAAGCAGUUUUUUUAAUUUAUUUUGUAAUUAAAAAGUAUAUUAAUUUGAAGAAAA